rnacentral:misc_RNA from 1 species
UCCGACUUAACGUCGGCAGUCCCUUUAGAGUGCCCAACUAAAUGCUGGCAACUAAAGGCAGGGUUGCGCUCGUUGCGGGACUUAACCCAACAUCUCACGACACGAGCUGACGACAGCCAUGCAGCACCUGUGUAUCGGCCCUUGCGGGCGGGGACAUCUCUGCCACCCUUCCAAUACAUGUCAAGCCCAGGUAAGGUUCUGCGCGUUGCAUCGAAUUAAACCACAUACUCCACCGCUUGUGCGGGCCCCCGUCAAUUUCUUUGAGUUUUAAUCUUGCGACCGUACUCCCCAGGCGGGAUACUUAACGCGUUAGCUUCGUCACUGAAGGGGUCAAUACCUCCAACAACAAGUAUCCAUCGUUUAUGGCGUGGACUAC